GCGGGGGUUGCCAAGCCAGGUCAAAGGCGCAGGAUUCAGGCUCCUGUCCCGUAGGGGUUCGUGGGUUCAAAUCCCACCCCCCGCACCA
rnacentral:tRNA from 1 species